CUUUGGUCACCCGGCCUCACGCUGCGUUCCAUUCACCUCAGAAGUUGGAAGUGGGAGCUGGGAAUGACGUCACAUCCGAGUUGUGAGCGUUCCAGGUAGGGGGUGCUAGAACACCCUGGUGAGGCUAUAAAUAGGAGAAGAAGCCCUUUGGCCUUCCCUUUGCCCCAAAGCCUGACUAUGAGUGUUUGGUGAGCAGACCUGCUAGCUACCAGGUCUUUGGAGGCAGAAGACUUUGGCCUGGUUGUCUCCUGAGGCAGUGAUUGCCAGAGUCGCCUCCCUGUAAGGAAGACAAGACAGUCAAGCUGAGAAGCCCAUGGCCACGGUACUCAGACACCAUGUUGCCAGAGCGAGCGUCCCAUUGACGCAGUGCUCCAUCUAAACUGCUGGUGGACACCACGGAAGAAGACUCCUCCCAUUGCAAACACUCUGACUGGGACGCAAACCUCGUGAUGGCAGCGAUGUCGCAGAACUUGCGUGGGGAGAUCGUAAAUGCCCAAGGUGCCGUCCAGGUAUGCCACAGCGACGAGGGGUAGGCUGCAGAAGACGAGAUGGUUCACACGUUUACAGGCAAAUCUCUUGCUAUUUAUGUUAGAAUUGUAUAGAAAUGUAAUCCAACAGUUACAUGUUACAGAAUCCCACAGAUUCAACAGAGUUAGAUUCUUCCUCGCCUCUUGCUCCUUUGGCUUUGCCUCCCUCCAAAGAGAACACUCCCACCACCUUAAUAUAUAUGACAAACACACACAUUAAGAGCCUCUAGUAAAUGUGUUUAAUUCCCUGUCUAUCACACUGUGUUCCCAUAGCACCCACCUUGCCAGUAACAGUGUUGAUGAGCUUUGCAAAGCCGUCCACUGAGCCCGUUAGUACCAGAGAGCCGUCCUUGUUGCAUGCGAGGCAGGUCAGCGCCCCCUUGUGUCCAUCUUGACCUGUUUUAGAAUGAAGGCACG